GGUUAAGCGACUAAGCGUACACGGUGGAUGCCCUGGCAGUCAGAGGCGAUGAAGGACGUGCUAAUCUGCGAUAAGCGUCGGUAAGGUGAUAUGAACCGUUAUAACCGGCGAUUUCCGAAUGGGGAAACCCAGUGUGAUUCGUCACACUAUCAUUACGUGAAUACAUAGCGUAAUGAAGCGAACCGGGGGAACUGAAACAUCUAAGUACCCCGAGGAAAAGAAAUCAACCGAGAUUCCCCCAGUAGCGGCGAGCGAACGGGGAGCAGCCCAGAGUCUGAAUCAGCUUGUGUGUUAGUGGAACGGUCUGGAAAGUCCGACGGUACAGGGUGAUAGUCCCGUACACCAAAAUGCACAGGUUGUGAACUCGA
rnacentral:rRNA from 1 species